UCUCUGGUGGUCCAGAGGCUUACGACUCUGUGCUCCCAAUGAAGGGGGCCCAGGUUCAAUUCCUGGUCAGGGAG
rnacentral:tRNA from 1 species